UUUGAAUCGAGUGGAGGCCGUUUGCCCAAUCAGAGGGUGAGACGUCACACUUCCGGUCUGUCUCGUAUGGCCCCAGUCAGCUCGCAGCUCUCUCUGUUUGUCCACCGACAUGCUGACGGUCGGACGCUUCGUGUGAGCAGCAGAUAACUAAAAUUCCCUCUAUGGCUUCUCGAGCGGGUCCGAGAGCGACGGGCACAGCCGGCAGCGACUUCAGCACCGCGUCGCUUCACACGACCAGAUGAGGUGACAGCAAGCCAGCUAACGACUACUCAGCAUCAUCCUGUCUGCUUCUUGGCGCUGCCCCGCAACAACAUCAGCUACCUGGUUUUCUCCACGAUCAUCUCAGGGCUCGUCUGCAUCACCCCGCUGAUCUACAGCUCC